ACGCACGCUGGCGGCGUGCUUCACACAUGCAAGUCGAACGGAAAGGCCCUGCUUUUGUGGGGUGCUCGAGUGGCGAACGGGUGAGUAACACGUGAGUAACCUGCCCUUGACUUUGGGAUAACUUCAGGAAACUGGGGCUAAUACCGGAUAGGAGCUCCUGCUGCAUGGUGGGGGUUGGAAAGUUUCGGCGGUUGGGGAUGGACUCGCGGCUUAUCAGCUUGUUGGUGGGGUAGUGGCUUACCAAGGCUUUGACGGGUAGCCGGCCUGAGAGGGUGACCGGCCACAUUGGGACUGAGAUACGGCCCAGACUCCUACGGGAGGCAGCAGUGGGGAAUAUUGCACAAUGGGCGGAAGCCUGAUGCAGCAACGCCGCGUGCGGGAUGACGGCCUUCGGGCUGUAAACCGCUUUCGCCUGUGACGAAGCGUGAGUGACGGUAAUGGGUAAAGAAGCACCGGCUAACUACGUG
rnacentral:rRNA from 1 species